CAACGAGCGCAACCCUUGCCUUUAGUUGCCAGCAGUUCGGCUGGGCACUCUAAAGGGACUGCCGGUGUCAAACCGGAGGAAGGUGGGGAUGACGUCAAGUCCUCAUGGCCUUUAUGACCAGGGCUACACACGUACUACAAUGGCCGAUACAAAGGGCAGCUACAUCGUAAGAUGAUGCGAAUCUCGUAAAGUCGGUCUCAGUCCGGAUUGGGGUCUGCAACUCGACCCCAUGAAGUUGGAAUCGCUAGUAAUCGUGGAUCAGCAUGCCACGGUGAAUACGUUCCCGGGCCUUGUACACACCGCCCGUCACACCACGGGAGUCGGUUGUUCCAGAAGCAGUUGUGCUAACCUUCGGGGAGUAGGCUGCCAAGGAAUGGCUGGUAACUGGGGUGAAGUCGUAACAAGGUAACC
rnacentral:rRNA from 1 species